UGGGGAAUAUUGGGCAAUGGGCGAAAGCCUGACCCAGCGACGCCGCGUGAGGGAAGAAGGUCUUCGGAUUGUAAACCUCUUUCAGCAGGGAAGAAGAAAGUGACGGUACCUGCAGAAGAAGUCACGGCUAACUACGUGCC
rnacentral:rRNA from 1 species